rnacentral:SRP_RNA from 1 species
GCCGGGCAUGGUGGCGCGUGCCUGUAGUCCCAGCUACUCGGGAGGCUGAGAUGGGAGAAUAGCUUGAACCUGGGAGGCAGAAGUUGCAGUGAGCCGAGAUCAUGCCACUGCACUGCAGCCUGGGUGACAGAACAAGACUCCAUCUCAA